CUUGUCCGUUGUAGGCACCCAUUACAGUCUUGUAGAGUUCGUGAUAUGAAGUGCGGUCUGGGCCGUAGAAAGGAUUUUCGUGGGAACUGCGAGUGAUCUGGUUGUCGCCAGCCUUCAAGUCAUAGGUGAAGUAAUCGAACUCUACGAAGUUGUAGUGAUUUUGACUGAUGUUGAUGAAGCGACCGUAUUCAUCGUAUUUGGGUCCAAGGAAGAUUUUGACCGCAGCCUUGACUGGUUUAUCAGACUUGACAUGGAUGUAGUAAUUGAACGGCUUGUGGUUGAGGCGGUAUUGACGGGCAUACACUUUGAAUUUGUG